rnacentral:rRNA from 1 species
AGCCCAGAGCCUGAAUCAGUGUGUGUGUUAGUGGAAGCGUCUGGAAAGGCGCGCGAUACAGGGUGACAGCCCCGUACACAAAAAUGCACAUGCUGUGAGCUCGAUGAGUAGGGCGGGACACGUGGUAUCCUGUCUGAAUAUGGGGGGACCAUCCUCCAAGGCUAAAUACUCCUGACUGACCGAUAGUGAACCAGUACCGUGAGGGAAAGGCGAAAAGAACCCCGGCGAGGGGAGUGAAAAAGAACCUGAAACCGUGUACGUACAAGCAGUGGGAGCACAGAGCAAUCUGUGUGACUGCGUACCUUUUGUAUAAUGGGUCAGCGACUUAUAUUCUGUAGCAAGGUUAACCGAAUAGGGGAGCCGAAGGGAAACCGAGUCUUAACUGGGCGUUAAGUUGCAGGGUAUAGACCCGAAACCCGGUGAUCUAGCCAUGGGCAGGUUGAAGGUUGGGUAACACUAACUGGAGGACCGAACCGACUAAUGUUGAAAAAUUAGCGGAUGACUUGUGGCUGGGGGUGAAAGGCCAAUCAAACCGGGAGAUAGCUGGUUCUCCCCGAAAGCUAUUUAGGUAGCGCCUCGUGAAUUCAUCUCCGGGGGUAGAGCACUGUUUCGGCAAGGGGGUCAUCCCGACUUACCAACCCGAUGCAAACUGCGAAUACCGGAGAAUGUUAUCACGGGAGACACACGGCGGGUGCUAACGUCCGUCGUGAAGAGGGAAACAACCCAGACCGCCAGCUAAGGUCCCAAAGUCAUGGUUAAGUGGGAAACGAUGUGGGAAGGCCCAGACAGCCAGGAUGUUGGCUUAGAAGCAGCCAUCAUUUAAAGAAAGCGUAAUAGCUCACUGGUCGAGUCGGCCUGCGCGGAAGAUGUAACGGGGCUAAACCAUGCACCGAAGCUGCGGCAGCGACACUGUGUGUUGUUGGGUAGGGGAGCGUUCUGUAAGCCUGUGAAGGUGUGCUGUGAGGCAUGCUGGAGGUAUCAGAAGUGCGAAUGCUGACAUAAGUAACGAUAAAGCGGGUGAAAAGCCCGCUCGCCGGAAGACCAAGGGUUCCUGUCCAACGUUAAUCGGGGCAGGGUGAGUCGACCCCUAAGGCGAGGCCGAAAGGCGUAGUCGAUGGGAAACAGGUUAAUAUUCCUGUACUUGGUGUUACUGCGAAGGGGGGACGGAGAAGGCUAUGUUGGCCGGGCGACGGUUGUCCCGGUUUAAGCGUGUAGGCUGGUUUUCCAGGCAAAUCCGGAAAAUCAAGGCUGAGGCGUGAUGACGAGGCACUACGGUGCUGAAGCAACAAAUGCCCUGCUUCCAGGAAAAGCCUCUAAGCAUCAGGUAACAUCAAAUCGUACCCCAAACCGACACAGGUGGUCAGGUAGAGAAUACCAAGGCGCUUGAGAGAACUCGGGUGAAGGAACUAGGCAAAAUGGUGCCGUAACUUCGGGAGAAGGCACGCUGAUAUGUAGGUGAAGUCCCUCGCGGAUGGAGCUGAAAUCAGUCGAAGAUACCAGCUGGCUGCAACUGUUUAUUAAAAACACAGCACUGUGCAAACACGAAAGUGGACGUAUACGGUGUGACGCCUGCCCGGUGCCGGAAGGUUAAUUGAUGGGGUCAGCGCAAGCGAAGCUCUUGAUCGAAGCCCCGGUAAACGGCGGCCGUAACUAUAACGGUCCUAAGGUAGCGAAAUUCCUUGUCGGGUAAGUUCCGACCUGCACGAAUGGCGUAAUGAUGGCCAGGCUGUCUCCACCCGAGACUCAGUGAAAUUGAACUCGCUGUGAAGAUGCAGUGUACCCGCGGCAAGACGGAAAGACCCCGUGAACCUUUACUAUAGCUUGACACUGAACAUUGAGCCUUGAUGUGUAGGAUAGGUGGGAGGCUUUGAAGUGUGGACGCCAGUCUGCAUGGAGCCGACCUUGAAAUACCACCCUUUAAUGUUUGAUGUUCUAACGUGGACCCGUGAUCCGGGUUGCGGACAGUGUCUGGUGGGUAGUUU